AUUUUUAGUAGAGACGGGGUUUCACCAUGUUACCUAGGGUGGUCUCGGCUAGUGUCGAUCUCCUGACCUCAUGAUCUGCCCACCUCGGCCUCCCAAAGUGCUGGGAUUAUAGGCGUGAGACACCGCGCCUGGCCUCUUCUCCUUCUGAAGAAAGGAACAACUGUAUCUUAUAUUUGCCACACAGUAUUUGUUUCUUCAGCUCCACAAAGGUCUGACAAAUGGUGGGACCUCACCUGUUCUGAUGGGGGCUCCCAUUUCUGCCCCUUCUGGAGGACCAGGAGCACUGUAUUGCCUGCCAGAGCUUGGAAGGGAGGACUCUUCUUCUGUCUCUACAGUUGUGCCAUCUUCCUCCAGCACCAGGAAGAAGGGCUUGUCUGCCAGCAUCAGAGUGCCCUGGUCCUGGGGAAUAAGGGUCUUGACUGUUGCCCAAGCUGGAAUGCAGUGGCACAGUCACUGCUCACUGUAGCCUUGACUCUGGAGCUCCACUGAUGCCCCCACCUCUCUGUGCAGCUGUGUGACCUCAGAUCCUGAAGAUCUUCGUGGACAAUCUCUUUGCUAUCGUCCUGCUGAAGCAGGCCACAGCUGUGCGCUGCUUGGACAUGAGUGCCUCCCGUAAGAAGCUGGCCGUGGUAGAUGAAAAUGACACUUGCCUGGUGUAUGACAUCGACACCAAGGAGCUGCUUUUUCAGGAACCAAACGCCAACAGUGUGGCCUGGAACACCCAGUGUGAGGACAUGCUCUGCUUCUCGGGAGGAGGCAACCUCAACAUCAAAGCCAGCAUCUUCCCUGUGCACUGGCAGAAGCUGCAGGGCUUUGUGGUCGGCUACAAUGGCUCCAAGAUCUUCUGCCUCCACGUCUUCAUUUCUGCCGUGGAGGUGCCACAGGUAACUGGGAGCACCUGUCCACUCUCAGCACUGGCAAGGCCAGUAAGACCAGGGAAGCCGGGCCCCUGGCUGGUGCUUUGAGGAGAGAGUAGCAAGGAGAGAAGAAUGGCAGCUGUGAUGUCGUGGGAGGCAGUCUGGGCUUGGAACCUGCAGCCCUAUCUCCACUCCUUGCAACCUGUGUGACUGGGGGCAAGGAGCUCAACCUCCCUGUGCCUCAAUU